rnacentral:lncRNA from 1 species
AUUCUCUUAGUGUUGAUGCUUUCAGUGUUUCAAAGUCUAUCUCUAUCUCAUCAGGAUUGGAAUUGCUCAGAGAAGGCUCUCUUGAUUGUAUUAUGUGAACUACUCGCCCAAGUUUAUCUCCAGGGAGUUUGUUUAUAUUCAGACUUAACUGCCUUUUCUCAUCAUAGUUCAUAGGUUUAGCAUUAUCUUCAUCUUCAGAUU